AUGCACGCUGGCGGCUUGCCUCAUACAUGCAAGUCGCGCGCACAGACGAGGAGCUUGCUCCUCUGACGUUAGCGGCGGCCGGGUGAGUAACACGUGGAUAACCUACCUAUAAGACUGGGAUAACUUCGGGAAACCGGAGCUAAUACCGGAUAAUAUAUUGAACCGCAUGGUUCAAUAGUGAAAGACGGUUUUGCUGUCACUUAUAGAUGGAUCCGCGCCGCAUUAGCUAGUUGGUAAGGUAACGGCUUACCAAGGCAACGAUGCGUAGCCGACCUGAGAGGGUGAUCGGCCACACUGGAACUGAGACACGGUCCAGACUCCUACGGGAGGCAGCAGUAGGGAAUCUUCCGCAAUGGGCGAAAGCUUGACGGAGCAACGCCGCGUGAGUGAUGAAGGUCUUCGGAUCGUAAAACUCUGUUAUUAGGGAAGAACAAAUGUGUAAGUAACUAUGCACGUCUUGACGGUACCUAAUCAGAAAGCCACGGCUAACUACGUG
rnacentral:rRNA from 1 species